UUAGAAAAUUAAGUAUCACAAUAUUUGAGUAAUGUUUUACAAGGACUUUAAGGUUUUUUGGAGAUGGAGGGGUACAUGGAAGUGGGCAUUCUAGAGAAUGCAGUGGAAGUUCUACAUGCUUUAUUUAAAAAUCCUCCCUCCUCCCCCGCCCCAUUUUUGGAUGUGCUUUAAUCUCUCCCCAGCAUCCUUUUCAUCCUGUCCACUGUGCCAGCCAACCUGAUGUGCUUUUAUGCUUUUGAAUUCCUGAGACACAGCCAGUACCUUGAACUCUGGAGAAUGACACUGAAAUAAUGUGAAAGAAUCCUUGAGAACCAAGUAAAUAACAGAUGAUGACGCUGAAGCAGAGACGGAAGAGGACUACUAUCGGAAUCACUUGCUAAGGAAGAGAUAGGAGCAUUCCAGCGACUGCCACAGACGGAAAAAAGGAACUGAGGAGGGGCCGGGCCGGCAGGUGCCUAUAUACCACACUAUAGAGGUGCCGCUCCAAGGGGCACCAGAGUCGACCUGACGGAUACCACUAGGGGAAAAUAGUCUUCAAGUGACGGUGCACACAAUGCGCACACACCUAUAUGGAAACGGACAUGAGCAAGCCGUCGAAGAAUAAGACUCUUGAAAAGCAAAACCAACAUCUUCCUAAGGUUUGGGACACAGAGAAAGCUGAGGGCUAGAGGUAUGGCGAGAGGACCCCUCCAUGUGAGAUUCCAGAGAUUUAAAAAAAAAAAAAAAUUUGAUUAUGCCCUCAAAGUAAAACACACAGAGGUGAAGGUAAGACGUGGAGGCAGCUUCUCUCCAGUAAGACACAAAAAGGUUGUAACUGGGGGUGAAUUAAGUGUAUAGAUGACUUCUCCCCAAGUGAGGCACCCCUCAAAUGCUAUCUGAGAACAAAAUAACCAGCUUCAGAUUAUGAAUACGGAAAUGGGAAUAAGCUCGACUUUAGCCUCAUCCUACUCAAAAAUAUUGUGUAACAGUCCAAAGCAGCAGUAAUAGUUUCAAACUGAUUCUCCUAGUCUCAGACUAAAAAUAAAGGCACUUCUUGUUUUUGGAAAGGUUGGUGAGGAUUGUUCAAGGUAACGAUGCCUGCAAACUACACAUACAUUUGGGUUUAGUAGAAUUCAUUCUGUUUCCAUAACCUUGGGAUGGAAGCAGGUUCUACUAAACCUUUUGUUUUAAGGAUUCAGGCAGACAAAGCAGAAGUAUCAUUCCAGUCAAUCCAAAGCCCCAAAGGCAAUGUAAGGAUCUUGAAUGGUGGUAUAACACUCAUGAGGAAGACUGAAGGAAGGACUGGUGCUUGUAAACAGACGUCACAACCAUAGGAAGUCACUGUACAUACCAGUUGGCUUUGAAGACAGAAGAUUGGUCAUCCCAAACUUUCUACUGAUGUUGUCUCGUGCCAUUUGAAAGGAGGUGCUAACUGUAGAUGCUGUGAUCCUUGCCAUGUAGCCCCAUCAUGGAGGAAAACAACGAAGCUUUUAGGUUGUAGUGAGAUGUGAUGUUAGUAAAAAGGCUUAUAUAAUAGGGUUUUAAUGCAGUUGGGAGUCACAGUGCGGUAGCCAUCUAUCAUGGAGAGCAAAGAAGGAGCUUAUCUGUACAAGAAUUCAAGAGCACACGGCUGUUCUGCUUGAAGAAUUUCCCUUCCCAUCCCAUAUAACCCCCUCCUUUCAGCCACAAUGGACGAUGCCUAUCAGUCAAGG